GAUGAACGCUGGCGGCGUGCUUAACACAUGCAAGUCGAACGGAAAGGCCCAAGCUUGCUUGGGUACUCGAGUGGCGAACGGGUGAGUAACACGUGGGUGAUCUGCCCUGCACUUCGGGAUAAGCCUGGGAAACUGGGUCUAAUACCGGAUAGGACCACUUCUUGGAUGUUGUGGUGGAAAGUUUUUUCGGUGUGGGAUGAGCUCGCGGCCUAUCAGCUUGUUGGUGGGGUAAUGGCCUACCAAGGCGUCGACGGGUAGCCGGCCUGAGAGGGUGUACGGCCACAUUGGGACUGAGAUACGGCCCAGACUCCUACGGGAGGCAGCAGUGGGGAAUAUUGCACAAUGGGCGCAAGCCUGAUGCAGCGAAGCCGCGUGGGGGAUGACGGCCUUCGGGUUGUAAACUCCUUUCGCUAGGGACGAAGCGUUUUGUGACGGUACCUGGAGAAGAAGCACCGGCUAACUACGUG
rnacentral:rRNA from 1 species